rnacentral:rRNA from 1 species
ACUCAAAGGAAUUGACGGAAGUUUGAACAAGCGGUGGAGCAUCUGGUUUAAUGCGACACAACGCGCAAAACCUUACCAAUAUUUGAAUAUCAUUUAAUUUUUUUGUAAUGAAAAAAAUCAAUCAAUUAUGGAUUUUUUUUUUGAUGAUGUAAUGAUACAGGUGCUGCAUGGCUGUCGUAAGCUCGUGUAGUGAUAUGUUUGGUUUACUCCUUUAACGAGCGCAACCCUUACUUCUAAUUAAAUUAGAGGGACUGCCUGUGUUAAACCGGAGGAAGGUGGGGAUGAUGUCAAGUCAGUAUGGCCCUUAUGGAUUGGGCUACACAGGUGCUACAAUGAUAAUUACAAAGAGAAGCAAUAACGUGAGUUGGAGCAAAUCUUAAAAAAUUAUCCUAGUUCGAAUUGUUCUCUGCAACUCGAGAACAUGAAGCUGGAAUCGCUAGUAAUCGUAAAACAGCAUGUUACGGUGAAUCUGUGACCAAACUUAGUACACACCGCCCGU